UACGAAGGGGGCUAGCGUUGUUCGGAAUUACUGGGCGUAAAGCGCACGUAGGCGGAUAUUUAGGUCAGGGGUGAAAUCCCAGAGCUCAACUCUGGAACUGCCUUUGAUACUGGGUAUCUGGAGUAUGGAAGAGGUGAGUGGAAUUCCGAGUGUAGAGGUGAAAUUCGUAGAUAUUCGGAGGAACACCAGUGGCGAAGGCGGCUCACUGGUCCAUUACUGACGCUGAGGUGCGAAAGCGUGGGGAGCAAACAGG
rnacentral:rRNA from 1 species